rnacentral:rRNA from 1 species
UAACGCGUGGGGAAUCUGCCUUUGAGCGGGGGACAACAUUUGGAAACGAAUGCUAAUACCGCAUAAAAACUUUAAACACAAGUUUUAAGUUUGAAAGAUGCAAUUGCAUCACUCAAAGAUGAUCCCGCGUUGUAUUAGCUAGUUGGUGAGGUAAAGGCUCACCAAGGCGAUGAUACAUAGCCGACCUGAGAGGGUGAUCGGCCACAUUGGGACUGAGACACGGCCCAAACUCCUACGGGAGGCAGCAGUAGGGAAUCUUCGGCAAUGGACGAAAGUCUGACCGAGCAACGCCGCGUGAGUGAAGAAGGUUUUCGGAUCGUAAAACUCUGUUGGUAGAGAAGAACGUUGGUGAGAGUGGAAAGCUCAUCAAGUGACGGUAACUACCCAGAAAGGGACGGCUAACUACGUGCCAGCAGCCGCGGUAAUACGUAGGUCCCGAGCGUUGUCCGGAUUUAUUGGGCGUAAAGCGAGCGCAGGUGGUUUAUUAAGUCUGGUGUAAAAGGCAGUGGCUCAACCAUUGUAUGCAUUGGAAACUGGUAGACUUGAGUGCAGGAGAGGAGAGUGGAAUUCCAUGUGUAGCGGUGAAAUGCGUAGAUAUAUGGAGGAACACCGGUGGCGAAAGCGGCUCUCUGGCCUGUAACUGACACUGAGGCUCGAAAGCGUGGGGAGCAAACAGGAUUAGAUACCCUGGUAGUCCACGCCGUAAACGAUGAGUGCUAGAUGUAGGGAGCUAUAAGUUCUCUGUAUCGCAGCUAACGCAAUAAGCACUCCGCCUGGGGAGUACGACCGCAAGGUUGAAACUCAAAGGAAUUGACGGGGGCCCGCACAAGCGGUGGA